AGAACGAACGCUGGCGGCAUGCCUAAUACAUGCAAGUCGAACGAACACUUCGGUGUUAGUGGCGCACGGGUGCGUAACGCGUGGGAAUCUGCCCUUGGGUUCGGAAUAACAGUUGGAAACGACUGCUAAUACCGGAUGAUAUCGAAAGAUCAAAGAUUUAUCGCCCAGGGAUGAGCCCGCGUAGGAUUAGCUAGUUGGUGAGGUAAAGGCUCACCAAGGCGACGAUCCCUAGCUGGUCUGAGAGGAUGAUCAGCCACACUGGGACUGAGACACGGCCCAGACUCCUACGGGAGCAGCAGUAGGGAAUAUUGGAC
rnacentral:rRNA from 1 species